rnacentral:rRNA from 1 species
AUGCGUUGUUCCUUCUUCUUUCAGUUACCAAAAAGAAUUAGUGAUACAUCAAAUACUGAAUCAGGUUCAGAUGUUGAUGAUCUUGCAUCCCCCAUAGCCCCUGAAGAUGUUCAAUAUCAUAGUUUGGCUCCACUCUGUGAGGAAAUAGAUCUCUGUUCCCUUAAUUCUGGCAUUAUAUUAAUAUGUUCCAUUCAUGAUUCACUUGCCAACUAUACUAGGUCAUACAUUCCUAUGAACAUAAGGAAAAAACAGAUAUUUCUUUUUCGUCUUGACAUGCCUAAAUGUUUGGAGUUGUUGCCUGGCAAAAAUAUACGGUAUGCAACUCCGUCAGUAUUCAGGAUGUAUCCUUCAUGUUUAUGA